rnacentral:rRNA from 1 species
UACGUAGGGUGCAAGCGUUAAUCGGAAUUACUGGGCGUAAAGCGUGCGCAGGCGGUUCGUUGUGUCGGCGGUGAAAGCCCCGGGCUCAACCUGGGAAUGGCCGUUGAAACUGGCGAACUGGAGUGUGGCAGAGGGGGGGUGGAAUUCCGCGUGUAGCAGUGAAAUGCGUAGAGAUGCGGAGGAACACCGAUGGCGAAGGCAGCCCCCUGGGCUGACACUGACGCUCAGGCACGAAAGCGUGGGGAGCAAACAGGAUAGAUACCGGGGUAGUCCAAGACCGAAUGU